GUGGUCAAGCGAAUAAGGGCUAAUGGUGGAUACCUAGGCACACAGAGGCGAAGAAGGACGUGGUGACCGACGAAACGCUCCGGGGAGCUGGAAGCAAGCGACUGAGCCGGAGAUAUCCGAAUGGGGCAACCCCAAGUACUGCCUGUUGAAUAUAUAGACAG
rnacentral:rRNA from 1 species